rnacentral:rRNA from 1 species
UACGAAGGGGGCUAGCGUUGCUCGGAAUCACUGGGCGUAAAGCGCACGUAGGCGGCUUUUUAAGUCAGGGGUGAAAUCCUGGAGCUCAACUCCAGAACUGCCUUUGAUACUGGGAAGCUUGAGUCCGGGAGAGGUGAGUGGAACUCCGAGUGUAGAGGUGAAAUUCGUAGAUAUUCGGAAGAACACCAGUGGCGAAGGCGGCUCACUGGCCCGGUACUGACGCUGAGGUGCGAAAGCGUGGGGAGCGAACAGG